UACGUAGGGUGCGAGCGUUAAUCGGAAUUACUGGGCGUAAAGCGUGCGCAGGCGGUUGUGCAAGACAGAUGUGAAAUCCCCGGGCUCAACCUGGGAACUGCAUUUGUGACUGCACGACUAGAGUACGGCAGAGGGGGGUAGAAUUCCACGUGUAGCAGUGAAAUGCGUAGAGAUGUGGAGGAAUACCGAUGGCGAAGGCAGCCCCCUGGGCCGAUACUGACGCUCAUGCACGAAAGCGUGGGGAGCAAACAGG
rnacentral:rRNA from 1 species